CUGAGAAGCGAGGGGGCGCUAGGGAAGGGAUCUAGCUAGCGAUGGUCCGACGAGAAAGCUGAGCGAGGAAGUUGGGGAGCAGAACCCGCUAGGUGUCCGAAUAGGGUAAGGUUGCGCCGCCCGGGACCGUUAGGAAAUAAAGGAGGUGAGAAAGAAAGCAAUUGCCGGGCGGAUCCCCGGACAGAGGGCUAAGGUUGUGUGGAAGGACUUGCUCCCCGGAUGGCGACCGCAGACAUUCCGGCCCCGGCCUCCAGCGGCCUCUCGCCCAAGGAAGAAGGGGAGUUAGAAGAUGGGGAGAUUAGCGACGACGAUAAUAACAGCCGGAGCAGCAGCAGCAGCAGCGGUGGAGGGCUGUUACCCUACCCUCGGCGGAGGCCUCACCCGACCCGGGGCGGUGGAUCGGGCGGAGGCGGUGGCUCCUCCUCGUCCUCAUCGUCUUCUCAGCAGCAGCUGAGGAAUUUCUCACGCCCGCGGCACGCGUCGGAACGGGGCCACCUCCGGGGACACUGCAGCUACCGACCCAAAGAACCGUUCCGCUCUCACCCGCCCUCCGCUCGGAUGCCUUCCAGCUCCGUGUCCGAGAGCAGUUCCCGGCCGUCCUUCUGGGAGCGCAGCCACAUCGCCUUGGACCGCUUCCGCUUUCGAAGCCGGCCUUACCGGGGCGGCAGUCGCUGGAGUCGGGGACGUGGAGGGGGUGAGCGAGGAGUCAAGCCGGGGGGCCGACCUCCCCUGGGAGGAGGCACGGGAUCCGGAUUCAGCAGCAGUCAGAGCUGGCGAGAGCCCUCUCCACCGCGCAAGAACUCCAAAAGUUUUGGAAGAUCUCCGUCAAGAAAACAGAAUUACUCAUCAAAAAGUGAAAACUGUGGGGAAGAGACUUUUGAAGAUUUGCUUUUGAAAUAUAAGCAAAUACAGUUAGAACUUGAGUGCAUCAAUAAGGAUGAAAAGCUUGCUUUGAGUAGCAAAGAGGAGACUGUGCAAGAAGACUCUAAUAAACCAUUGAACUUUGAGGACCAAAUAAGCACUGAUAAUGUCAGUAUUACAAAGGACUCAAGUAAAGAAAUAGCUCCUGAGGAGAAAACACAGGUUAAAACUUUUCAGGCAUUUGAAUUGAAACCACUCAGGCAAAAAUUGACUUUACCAGGAGAUAAAAACCGGUUGAAAAAAGUUAAAGAUGCAGCAAAACCUCUUUCCCUGAAAUCUGACACUACUGAACCUAGCCAAGGGUUAGAAGAUAAAGAACAAAAUUUAACAAGAAGAAUUAGUACUUCAGAUAUUUUGUCUGAAAAGAAACUUGGUGAAGAUGAAGAAGAACUAUCUGAAUUACAGCUUCGUCUUUUGGCUCUUCAAUCAGCUAGUAAAAAAUGGCAACAAAAAGAACAGCAGGUGAUGAAAGAAAGCAAAGAAAAGUUAACUAAGACCAAAACCAUACAGCAAAAAGCAUGGAAGAAACUACAGCAACAAAAAGAACAGGAAAGGCAGAAAGAAGAGGAUCAAAGAAAACAAGCUGAAGAAGAAGAGAGAAGGAAAAGAGAAGAAGAAAUCCGAAAAAUUCGGGAUCUCUCAAAUCAAGAAGAGCAAUACAAUCGAUUCAUGAAAUUGGUUGGUGGAAAGAGAAGAUCAAGAAGUAAAUCUUCAGAUCCUGACCUGAGGAGAUCCUUAGAUAAGCAACCUGAUAGUGGAGGAAGCAUUUAUCAGUAUGAUAACUAUGAAGAAGUUGCUAUGGAUACAGAUAGUGAAACCAGUUCUCCAGCUCCUUCACCAGCACGACCUCCAUUCUUUUCUGAAUGUUCAUUGGGAUAUUUUUCUCCCGUAUCGUCUGUUUCUUUGCCUCCACCACCUCAGGUUUCUUCUGUGCCACCUUUGAGCCAACCUUACGUGGAUGGCUUGUGUACUUCUCUUGCACCUCUACCUCCUCCACCACCUCUCCCACCACUCCCACCAGAAGAUCCAGAACAGCCUCCAAAACCACCUUUUGCAGAUGAAGAAGAAGAGGAAGAAAUGCUGCUAAGAGAAGAGCUGCUUAAAUCUCUAGCAAAUUGAAGAGCUUAUAAACCAGAGGAAACAUCUAGUAAUAGUGACCCACCUUCACCUCCAGUUGUGAACAAUUCGCAGCCUGUGCCAAGAAGCAAUUUAUCAAUAGUCAGUAUUAAUACAGUAUCUCAGCCUAGGAUACAGAAUCCAAAGUUCCACAGAGGACCUCGUCUUCCACGAACUGUGAUCUCGCUUCCAAAACAUAAGUCAGUGGUUGUAACACUAAAUGAUUCAGAUGAUAGUGAAUCUGAUGGAGAGGCUUCUAAGUCGACAAAUAGUGUUUUUGGUGGACUAGAGUCCAUGAUUAAAGAAGCAAGGCGGACUGCUGAGCAAGCAUCAAAACCAAAAGUACCUCCAAAAUCUGAAAAAGAAAACGAUCCCAUGCGAACACCUGAAGCUUUGCCUGAGGAAAAGAAAAUUGAAUACAGAAUGUUAAAAGAAGAGAUUGCCAAUCGUGAGAGACAACGUUUGAUUAAAUCAGAUCAACUGAAGACGAAUUCAUCAUCCCCAGCAAAUUCUGAUGUUGAAAUUGAUGGGAUUGGCAGAAUAGCGAUGGUUACAAAGCAAGUUACAGAUGCAGAAGCAAAACUUAAAAAACAUAGGAUUCUCUUGAUGAAAGAUGAAUCUGUUUUAAAAAACUUAGUACAACAAGAAGCUAAGAAAAAAGAAUCUGUUCGAAAUGCUGAAACAAAGAUUACAAAACUUACAGAACAGCUUCAAGCAACUGAAAAAAUCCUCAAUGUCAAUAGAAUGUUUUUGAAGAAGCUUCAGGAACAAAUUCACAAGGUUCAGCAACGUGUAACAGUUAAGAAAGCUUUAACAUUAAAGUAUGGAGAAGAGCUUGCCCGUGCAAAGGCAGUGGCUAGUAAAGAAAUAGGGAAACGUAAACUGGAACAGGAUCAUCUUGGACCAAACAAAAUGAUGAGACUGGACAGUUCUCCGAUUUCAAGCCCAAGAAAGCCUUCAGCAGAACUAAUUGCUAUGGAAAAAAGACGAUUACAAAAGCUAGAAUAUGAGUAUGCCCUGAAAAUUCAGAAAUUAAAACAAGCUCGUGCUCUUAAAGCAAAGGAACAGCAGAGUAUUGCUACCGUUGUAGAUGAUGAAUCUGAAUUUUCUUUACCUCAACCCUCACUUCAUGACCUGACUCAAGAUAAGUUAACCCUUGACACCGAGGAAAAUGAUGUUGAUGAUGAAGUUUUAUCUGAUUCAAACAGAGAAAGAAGAAGAUCCUUUAUAGAAUCCAAUUCUUUCACUAAACCUAACUUAAAACACACUGACACAUCUAACAAAGAAUGCCUGAAUAAACCUACUAAAAGUAAUUUAGAAAAACCAGAACUUUUUCUAGGGUUAAAAAUUGGUGAAUUGCAAAAAUUAUAUUCAAAAGCGGACAGCUUGAAACAGUUGAUCUUAAAAACUACCACAGGUAUUACAGAGAAAGUUUUGCAUGGUCAGGAGAUUUCUGUGGAUGUGGACUCUGGCCCAGAACAGUGUAGAGCAACAGAAGUGAGACCGUUGCCCUUCACACCCUACCGUAGUCCUCUUCUAGUGUUUAAAUCCUACAGAUUUAGUCCUUACUACCGAACGAAGGAAAAAUUUCCGCUGAGCUCAGUGUCAUAUAGUAACAUGAUUGAGCCAUAUCAGUGUUUCUGCCACUUUGAUUUAACAGGAACAUGUAAUGAUGAUGAUUGCCAGUGGCAGCAUACUAAAGACUAUACACUAAGCCGAAAGCAGCUAUUCCAGGACAUUCUGUCAUACAAUCUGUCUUUAAUUGGUUGUUCAGAGACAAGCACUGAUGAGGAAAUUGCUGCUGCAGCAGAAAAAUAUGUUGAAAAGCUUUUUGGAGUAAAUAAAGAUCGAAUGUCAAUGGACCAGAUGGCUGUUCUCCUUGUUAGCAAUAUCAAUGAAAGUAGAGGUCAUACACCUCCAUAUACAACCUACAAAGAUAAAAGAAAAUGGAAGCCAAAGUUUUGGAGAAAACCUAUUUCAGAGAGUAGCUUCAGUAGUGAUGAGGAAGAGUCUACAGGACCAAUUAAGUAUGCCUUUCAGCCAGAGAACCGAAUAAAUGUCCCAGCUUUGGAUACAGUUGUCACUCCAGAUGAUGUCAGAUACUUUACAAAUGAAACUGAUGACAUUGCUAAUUUAGAAGCAAGUGUGCUUGAAAAUCCUUCUCAUGUACAACUGUGGCUCAAGCUUGCAUACAAGUACUUGAAUCAAAAUGAAGGAUUAUGUUCAGAAUCCUUGGAUUCUGCUUUAAAUGUUCUGGCUCGAGCAUUGGAAAAUAACAAAGAUAAUCCAGAAAUUUGGUGCCAUUACCUCCGAUUGUUCUCAAAAAGAGGAACCAAAGAGGAGGUCCAGGAAAUGUGUGAAACAGCUGUUGAAUAUGCUCCCGAUUAUCGAAGUUUUUGGACUUUUCUACACCUAGAAAGCACCUAUGAAGAAAAAGAUUAUGUAUGUGAAAGGAUGAUGGAGUUUCUGAUGGGAGCAGCCAAAGAAGAAGCUUCAGAUAUGCUGUCCUUUCAGCUUUUAGAGGCUCUUUUGUUUAGAGUUCAGCUGCAUAUAUUUACUGGAAGAUACCAAAAUGCGCUUGCAAUUUUACAGAAUGCUUUGAAAUCUGCUAAUGAUAGAAUAGUAGCUGAAUACCUUAAAACAAGUGAUCGAUGUUUGGCAUGGCUAGCCUACAUACAUCUUAUCGAAUUCAACAUUCUUCCUCCAAAAUUGUAUGAUCCAUCUAAUGCCAAUCCUUCAAGAAUUGUUAACACAGAACCAUUUGUAAUGCCGUGGCAUGCAGUUCAAGAUGUAAAGACUAAUCCAGACAUGUUGUUAGCAGUUUUUGAAGAUGCAGUGAAAGCUUGUACUGAUGAGAGCCUUACUGUUGAGAAAAGAAUAGAGGUCUGUCUUCCACUUUAUAUGAACAUGAUUGCUCUGUACCAGCUUCUGGAGAGGUUUGAAGCGGCAAUAAAGCUUUGUAAACAUUUACUGGAAUCAUGUCCUAUGAACUGCCAGUUGUUGGAAGCCCUUGUUGCUGUAUACUUGCAAACAAAUCAACAUGAAAAAGCCAGAACAGAGUGGCUUACUGCGUUUGAAAAAAAUCCUCAGAAUGCAGAAGUUUUUUAUCAUACAAGUAAAUUGUUCAUCUUACAGAAUGAAGGUGAUACGCUUCUUCCAUUUUUGCGGAAAUUUCUCGCAUCCUUCUUUAAACCUGGAUUUGAGAAAUACAGUAACUUGGAUCUGUUUCAGUGUCUCUUAAAUAUCCCAGGACGACUUGACAUUCCAGCUCAUUUAUAUAAAGGGAAUUUUAAUGAUGAAAUGUUUAAUAGCCAAAUCCCUUACUUGUGGCUGAUUUACUGCCUAUGUCAUCCCCUUCUAUCAAGUGUUAAAGAGGCAGAGGAGGCAUAUGAGACCGCAUUAGGGGUGACCAUGAGAUCUGAUAUAAUACAGAAGAUUUGGCUGGAUUAUCUUGUCUUUGCCAAUAACAGGGCUGCUGGAUCCACAAACAAACUUCAAGACUUCACAUUUUUUACUGAUUUAGUGAAUAGAUGUUUGGUUACAGUCCCUGCCCGAUAUCCCAUUCCUUUUAGCAGUGCUGAUUACUGGUCCAACUAUGAAUUUCAUAAUAGGGUUAUUUUCUUUUAUUUGAGCUGUGUUCCAAAGGCCCAGCAUUCUGAAACCUUGGAACGAUUUUGCUCAAUUAUGCCAGCUAAUUCUGGACUUGCCCUGAGGCUGCUUCAACAUGAGUGGGAAGAAAGCAAUGUUCAGAUUCUGAAACUCCAAGCCAAGAUGUUUACAUAUAAUAUCCCAACAUGCCUGGCCACCUGGAAAAUAGCCAUUGCUGCUGAGAUUGUUCUAAAGGGACAAAAAGAGGUCCACCGUUUAUAUCAGAGAGCCUUACAGAAGUUACCUCUUUGUGCGUCACUGUGGAAAGAUCAACUCUUGUUUGAAGCAUCAGAAGGAGGUAAAACUGAUAACCUGAGAAAACUAGUUUCCAAGUGCCAAGAGAUUGGAGUCAGCCUAAAUGAGCUCUUAAAUUUAAACAGUAACAAAACAGAGAGCAAGAAUCACUGA